GCCAGCGUAGCUCAGUGGUAGAGCAGCGGUUUCGUAAACCGCCGGUCGACAGUUCGAAUCUGUCCGCUGGCUCCA
rnacentral:tRNA from 1 species